AUGAAUCAAGACCAAGCAGCACCGGCUUUUGGUUUUGAGGGUGACUACAACCUGAGGAUAUCGAGGAUCUACAAGUUCCCGGCAGGGCUAAGGGCUCUGGGCACCCGGUACAUCGAACCGAUGUUGGUAGCCAUCGGUCCUUACCACCGCCACUUACCCCACCUCCAGGGGAUGGAGCAGGUGAAGCGCCUGGCUACCGACCACUUCGUCAACCAAGUGGAGCCCACGCGAGAAGAGCUAUACGCAGCGGUCCUCCACGUGGCGGGCACCGCCCGCCUCCUGUACGGCUACGGCAUCAUCCCGCCGGCACCAGCCGCAGGUGACGCGCCGGCCGCGGACCAGCAGGUGCCGCCCCCGGCGCAGGAGCAGCACCAUCAGGCACUGCCUGCAGGAGACGCGCACCAGCAGGCGCCGGCGCAGGAGCAGCAGCAGCAGGCACCGCCUGCCGCAGCCCAACAUGGCAAUAAUCCGCCACCGCCAAUGGGAGACAUUGAAUUUGCAGAUAUGCUUUUCCACGAUGCUUGCUUCCUGCUGCAGUAUAUUAGAGUGCGUAUGCUUAAUAACACAGGGCCACCGUCGCUGGCACACCUCUUCUACUCCAAGCGCUCUGUCAUCAAUAAUGACAUCAUGCUACUAGAGAACCAGCUCCCCUGGCUUGUGCUCAGCAGUCUCAUCAAUCUUACGGGCCACGUGCCCGUGACAAGAUUCAUUGUUCGGUUGGCAAGUGUUUUCCAUGCUCGCAGGGGUCUCGGGGUGGAACAAGGCUUUGAGCUCGGUGACUACAGGCCGGCUCAUCUCCUUGCUCUCCUCCGGUUCCACAUGAAAGGAGACAUGACACGGCAAGUGGACAUGCUCGUCAAUACUCCAAACCAGAUCUCUGUAUCUUUUAACGCCAUCGGGCUCGAAGAAAUCGGCAUCAAGCUCAAGGUGAGCGACGGAAACAUGUUCGCGGACAUGCGCAUCAACAAGAGAAGCCUCUUGCCCGGCCGCAAGCUCGUCCUGCCACCGCUGUUACUGGGCAAUGUAUCCGUCACCUGCCUCGUCAACAUGGCGGCUUUGGAGGUAUGCACAGGCAUAUCUUUUGUCGACAACAAUACUGUGGUUUGCUCCUACGUCGGUAUCCUCGCCAUGCUCAUGCACCGGGAGGACGACGUGCACCAGCUGCGAGCUAUGCAUCUCGUACAAGGAGAACUCACCGACCGGGAGACGCUCGACUUGUUCACCAGCCUUGGCAAGCUCCUGCCCUCGGGCGAACGCUAUGUGAGUAUCCUGGAAAGCAUUGAGGAGUACAAGCUCGGCAAUUGGCUUUGGAUCGCGGUGUACAGGUUCUUUCACCUAUACUUUACCAAGAUCGCGACGUUUUUUGCUGCGAUAAGUAGCAUUGCUGGUGUGUUCAAGGCGUUCGAGCUCAUUGUUGUCAAGAAGCACCAGUAG
rnacentral:rRNA from 1 species